rnacentral:rRNA from 1 species
UGGGGAAUAUUGGACAAUGGGCGAAAGCCUGAUCCAGCCAUGCCGCGUGUGUGAAGAAGGUCUUCGGAUUGUAAAGCACUUUAAGUUGGGAGGAAGGGCAGUAAGCGAAUACCUUGCUGUUUUGACGUUACCGACAGAAUAAGCACCGGCUAACUCUGUGCCAGCAGCCGCGGUAAUACAGAGGGUGCAAGCGUUAAUCGGAAUUACUGGGCGUAAAGCGCGCGUAGGUGGUUCGUUAAGUUGAAUGUGAAAGCCCCGGGCUCAACCUGGGAACUGCAUCCAGAACUGGCGAGCUAGAGUAGAGCAGAGGGUGGUGGAAUUUCCUGUGUAGCGGUGAAAUGCGUAGAUAUAGGAAGGAACACCAGUGGCGAAGGCGACAACCUGGGCUCAUACUGACACUGAGGUGCGAAAGCGUGGGGAGCAAACAGG